rnacentral:rRNA from 1 species
AACAAACGCUGGCGGCGUGCAUAACACAUGCAAGUCUAACGGGAAUGUCGGCUUCGGCUGACUAGUACCGUGGCGAACGGGUGAGUAACACGUGGGUAAUCUAACCUCGAGUUUGGGAUAACCUUGCGAAAGCGAGGCUAAUACCGAAUAAGACCACGCCCUGUACGCAGGGUGCGGUAAAAGGUGGCCUCUUCCUGAAAGCUUUCACUUGAGGAUGAGCCCGCGGCCUAUUAGCUAGUUGGUAGGGUAACGGCCUACCAAGGCGACGCUGGGUAGCCGGGCUGAGAGGGUGUACGGCCACACUGGCACUGAGAUACGGGCCAGAAUCCUACGGGAGGCAGCAGUGGGGAAUUUUGCGCAAUGGGGGAAACCCUGACGCAGCAACGCCGCGUGAGUGAUGAAGGCCUUCGGGUCGUAAAGCUCUUUUAGUGGGGAAGAAGCCCUCCGGGACUAAUACUCCCGGGGUCUGACGGUACCCGCAGAAAAAGUUCCGGCUAGCUACGUGCCAGCAGCCGCCGUAAAAC